ACUCCUGAGCCCAGCUGUGUGAACGAACACAGGUUCACAGCCUUAUGAACCAGGCUGCAGCACCCCCUGCCCGCAGCCUGGAGAGGACAAGGCGGCCUGGAGGACCAGAGAAGUCCCACAGGUCUUGGACUAAAGAAAAGUGCGGGAAUUGAAGACGCCCCCUCCCAGAGUGAGUGUACCACACAGAUAAGUCUCGGAGACCAGAGAGAGGGUUUGGCCUUCGCCUGGAGUCACGGAGUAAGUCACACCCCACCCAACCCCACCCCACCCCGUGUGUGUUAGAGGAAGUCCUCAGUGAAAGUCUGGGUGGCUUCAGGAUUUCCUUUGAGUCACCUGGAGAAAAAAGUUUCAACGGGGUCUCUUCCUGGCCCACUGGACAGACGCUGACUUCCUUCAUCCAACUGAGGAUUUAUCUGUUUAGAGCAGCUGGAAGCAGAUGUGGGGCCCCGCUUCUGACCUGCCUAUUUCACGGUCCGGCAUAGUGAAGCCUGGCUUAGCUGAGUGAGUGAGUGAGGGGCAGGGAGCCCAGAGACACCACAUCUGCCCUGCAGGCACACAGCAAGGCUCAGGGAUAGGAAUGCCCUAGGGGUCUCAUAAGUGAACUGGGAGGGGUUAUGACCCGGAUUCACAGUGGAAUGUCUUCCAUUGCAGUCUGCCACAGGCUCCUUCCCAGUGGGAGAGAUUCCCUUCCUAUCCACAAACACCAUCAGACCCGCCCCCACUUCAGGGACAGACCCAGAGUAGCAGACAAGGCAAGGUAAACUGAGACAGAAUUCGGGGUGCACACACGAGAAGCUUCUUUGAGAAUCGGGACCCCCUCACCUGGAGGUCCUAAACAGGAGACUCUCUAGCCCAUCCUGGGUUUCCACAGAUCCUGAAUCCCCUGCUUUAAUUGGGAGUGUUCCACUGUCAACCUCUAUUUCUAGGUUGUCACAGGCCUGAAAUAGGGACAUAGUCCAGGCAGGAGGACUUCAUCCAGGAUAGAUGGGCGUCCCUAUGUGAAAUCCUAACUCUGGGAGCCCUUAUGAUUUUUGUGACAGUAUAUGUUAGCUCAGGCUACCCUCAAAUUAUGAGGCCCUGAUCCUCCUGCCUCAGCUCCCCAGUGCUGGAAUGACAGAUAUGUGCAGCCACAUCUAACUUUUUAAGAAAAGUCUUGAGAAAGGGUCUCUCUGUGUAGCUCUGGCUGGCCUUGAGCUUCUGGAAAUCCACCUGCCUCAGCUUCCUGAGUGUCUACUGCUUCUGCGAGCUCACCUGGAAGUAACAUCUGCUGGUGUCACAGGUUGUCUUGGCUGCGGUGAAGUCACUGGCCACGGCGUUCACGCCUACGCUGCGCUCCAACCGCGCACCACCACCUCAGGUGCUUGCACAUGCAGCAGUGCGGCUGCCUGGAACAUCACCAGCCUGGCAGCCGCUGCCCCCGACCCCCGCGGCGCCCGAAGCUGCGCAGGGAGCCCAGCUGCAUGUCCCACGAACCGGGUCCCUAGACACCCGGACUUCCUACUCCAUGACGUUGAUUAUUAAGUCCGGGGCAGGGAAAAUGUGUCCUCUGACCGAGGCGAUCUGUGGCCUCACAACUGCGUUUUAUUCUCUCUCUCUCCCUCCUUCCCUCCGUCCUUCCCCCCCUCCCUUUCUUUUUGGUUUUCUGUAUAGCCCUGGCUGUUCUGGAACUCACUUUGUAGACCAGGCUGGCCUCGAACUCAGAAAUCCGCCUGCCUCUGCCUCCCAAAUGCUGGGAGUAAAGGCUUGCACCACGCCAGGCCAUUUUAUACUCUCAUUUAGCCCCAGCCCGCCUCCCGGUGAUGCACAGACCUUAGAAACACGCAGCGCGCAGUUGGAAUCUGAAGGACCCUGUUGUCCUCCACGCCCAAAUGUUUCACCAGAAUCCCAAGUCACCUACAGCCUUGUUUAUUUCUGUGCCACCCCACGUCUUACACUGUAUACACUGCAACCCACCUGCCUUUGCCUCCUAGGUGUUAGGAAUAAAGGCAUGUGUCACAUUGACCUGCCUUGUUUAUUUCUUCUGGACCUGUUUUGAUCUCAGUCCCCUUCCUGAUGGACAGGAGCUAAUACUGGGCUCAGAAGGGGCAGGAUGGGUCCAUGUUUCCCAAGCCCUCAUGGGCAGUCUUAGGAAGGAGGGGGUAUUUAUUGAGCACCUACUGUCUGACCCGUGUGGGGGUUGGGUUAGGCCUGUUUCCCACAGCAGCAGGGGAAUAAAGCCUGCCCAGGUCCACCCCAGAGCUCCACCCCACAAACUUAUAGAAUCCAAACUGGGCCUCUGGGUUCCCACACAGGUCCACUAUCUCCCAAGACAGGUGGCUGAAAGUCUGAUCAGAGGACACUGUGACUUAGGCUGCUCUUGAUAAGCCGCCCAUGCCUGUGAGGUGUCUCAGUGUUCCCCAAGUACCCAAAGUCUGAAGCCUAAGGUCUGAAGUGACCGUGGUGACUCUGCUCGUCUGUAACCCUGGCCUCUCACCCUCCCGUGUGUCCUUACUUUGACAUCAGGAUCCCCAAGUAGAAUCUAUCCGCUUAUGCUGUUUAACAAGUGUGUUUGCCUCAGACCAUUGCUGUGUGGCUACAGGCAAGUGGCCUCACCUCUCUGAAUUCUCAUUUGUUUGUAUCUUACUCCAGUUAGAUAGAUCCUGAAGAAAAGCCAUUGUUUCAGUCCCUGUAUACAGUAGAUACUCAAUGCAUGUGCAGUGACUUUCCACGUCUGUCCCCGUCCAUUAAGGAAUCCCCAGGUGGGGUCAUCUACCUCCUCUGGGGAGAUGUUUGCAGCCCCCUGCAUGUCAACAGAAAGCGGGCUGGAAGCUCCUGAUUUACUUAGAAAUGUUGAGGCCCCUGCUACUACUCCUUGCCCUCCUGGGGCCUGGGACAGCUAAGGGGACCUGGAUCCUGUGGCCCAGCCUCAGAAGGAUGAGUGCCAGUCCAGUCGGCUCAGUUCACCCAAGCUUCUAAAUGCAGUAGUCCGGAGGUCCAAAACGGCAAGGAGCUAGCUGUGGCCACACGAUGGCUGAGAUGGAGCAGUCUAGCGGUCAGCAGCCAUCACCCACAGUCUGAUCCCAUGGUGGGCAGCCAGUGGCUUUGUGGGCUCUGGGUGGCUGUGGCCAGGUGACCAGGCCCAGGCCAGGGUGGUGGUAGAGGGCAUAUGGCUUGGGCUAUAAGGCCUGGUAGAGCCUGCAGGGAGGCACCCAGGACAUCCAGUCGGCUCUCCAAGGCGGCUAGGCGUGCCUCCAACUCCUCCUGCUGGGCCUGCAGCUCUGACACCACCUCAUAUGCGAUGCUCUGUGCCUACAGAGAUGGAGAGACAGACCGAGUGAUAAAGGGAGGGACCAGGAGAUGGCUGAGGGCAGAGGGCUAAGGACAGUAGGGGCCAGCAUGAGGAUUAAAGAGCAGGGGACUGAGCAGUUUUUGUUCCAGCAGCUCGCCGGCUGUGUGACCAGCAGGGGGCGCCAGAGGUGCAGAGUCCCAACACAGGCCGCCAGGGAGCUGGUGAACAUGUCAGGCUCAGAUGGAGCUAGAGAAUGGUUUUCUUCUUUGGGCCACCAUGGCUUUGCCCAGACUGUAGCUUACCUGUCCCUACUUGUCCAGAAACCAGGAUGUGACAUUUGAAGACACCCAUAACUGUUAGCUCAUAGCCCUCUCUGGUAUUGUUUGUUUGUUUAUUCAUUUAUUGAGACAGGGCAUAAAUAACCAUGUAGCCUUGGCUGGCCUGGAACUCCCUACCUGGACCAGACUGGCCUCAAACUCAGAAGCCAGAGACCUGGGAUUAAAGGUUUGUGCCGCCAGACCCAGCUUGGCUUUAUUUGUUUGGUUGGUUUUUAUUUAUAUGUAUGUGUGUAUUUCUUGAGACAGUCUCCAGGCUGUCCUUGAAUUUGAAGCAAUCAUCCUCCUGCAGCCAUGUGAGUACUGGAGUAAACUAUGUGAAAUGAACCAUUAUGACUUCUGAACUCUAGAAGCUGAGGCAGUGUAGCGUCCCCCAGCGGUGAGCAGGCUGGCUCAGACCUGUUCUGCCACUGUGAAGGGGACCACCUGGGGUGGAGACUUCCGAGACAUAGCUAGGUCUAGUGUUCUGCCCCCUCUGUGCUCUUCUCCAAGAUGCUGCUGCCUGCUGACAGGCUGAACCUGUCUUCCUGAGCCGAUCCUGAAUAAGCAACAGCCUGGCCACCAAGUACUGACAGCCUGGCGGCAGAGCAAGGAGAACCUGGAGUGUUGGAGGAUGGCCCUUUCACCUUUAUAAGCUCAGACUCUUAAGUAAACUUUGGGCCUUGAUCAGU
rnacentral:lncRNA from 1 species